rnacentral:rRNA from 1 species
GACGAACGCUGGCGGCGUGCUUAACACAUGCCAGUCGAACGGUGAUGCUCCAGCUUGCUGGAGUGGAUCAGUGGCGAACGGGUGAGUAACACGUGAGCAACCUGCCCCAGACUCUGGAAUAAGCGCUGGAAACGGCGUCUAAUACUGGAUACGAAACUGGCCCGCAUGGGCAUGGUUUGGAAAGUUUUUCGGUUUGGGAUGGGCUCGCGGCCUAUCAGCUUGUUGGUUAGGUAAUGGCUCACCAAGGCGACGCCGGGUAGCCGGCCUGAGAGGGCGACCGGCCACACUGGGACUGAGACACGGCCCAGACUCCUACGGGAGGCAGCAGUGGGGAAUAUUGCACAAUGGGCGAAAGCCUGAUGCAGCGACGCCGCGUGAGGGAUGACGGCCUUCGGGUUGUAAACCUCUUUCAGCAGGGAAGAAGCGAAAGUGACGGUACCUGCAGAAGAAGCACCGGCUAACUACGUG